rnacentral:rRNA from 1 species
UUGCCCUAGUAACGGCGAGUGAAGCGGCAACAGCUCAAAUUUGAAAUCUGGCCUCGGCCCGAGUUGUAAUUUGUAGAGGAAGCUUUUGGCACGGCACCUGCUGAGUCCCCUGGAACGGGGCGCCAUAGAGGGUGAGAGCCCCGUAUAGCAGGACGCCUAGCCUCUGUAAAGCUCCUUCGACGAGUCGAGUAGUUUGGGAAUGCUGCUCAAAAUGGGAGGUAAAUUUCUUCUAAAGCUAAAUACCGGCCAGAGACCGAUAGCGCACAAGUAGAGUGAUCGAAAGAUGAAAAGCACUUUGAAAAGAGGGUUAAAUAGCACGUGAAAUUGUUGAAAGGGAAGCGCUUGUGACCAGACUCGCGCCGGGCUGAUCAUCCGAGCUUCUGCUCGGUGCACUCUGCCCGGCUCGGGCCAGCAUCGGUUCUCGCGGGGGGAUAAAGGCCCUGGGAACGUAGCUCCUCCGGGAGUGUUAUAGCCCGGGGUGCAAUGCCCUCGCGGGGACCGAGGACCGCGCUUCGGCAAGGAUGCUGGCGUAAUGGUCAUCAGCGACCCGUCUUGAAACACGGACCAAGGAGUCAAGGUUUUGCGCGAGUGUUUGGGUGUUAAACCCGCACGCGUAAUGAAAGUGAACGUAGGUGAGAGCUUCGGCGCAUCAUCGACCGAUCCUGAUGUAUUCGGAUGGAUUUGAGUAGGAGCGUUAAGCCUUGGACCCGAAAGAUGGUGAACUAUGCUUGGAUAGGGUGAAGCCAGAGGAAACUCUGGUGGAGGCUCGCAGCGGUUCUGACGUGCAAAUCGAUCGUCAAAUCUGAGCAUGGGGGCGAAAGACUAAUCGAACCAUCUAGUAGCUGGUUACCGCCGAAGUUUCCCUCAGGAUAGCAGUGUUGUUCUUCAGUUUUAUGAGGUAAAGCGAAUGAUUAGGGACUCGGGGGCGCUUUAUAGCCUUCAUCCAUUCUCAAACUUUAAAUAUGUAAGAAGCCCUUGUUACUUAAUUGAACGUGGGCAUU